CCACCUAAUGAUUAUGAAUGGAGAGAAUCGCGCGCUCCACUCCCUCCAGAGAUCCUCUCUCUUAGUUAGUUCAUCAUCGAUUGAUUAAAUGGUGAUAUGGUUUUCAGUUUACGAUUUCAGAUUUGCUCAUCAGUUGAAGUUUGCGGUUCAAGUUUGGGCAAUUUCAAGUUAAAAACUCGAUGAAUAAACACACAGCUAGGGGAUCAUUCUCUCUCGUAUGCUAUUAUCAAGAAAUUAUUCAAUACAUAGUGAUGAUGCCUUACAUAAUGAGUCUCAAGCAAAAUUGGCCCCGGACUGCAUAUUGGUGUUCCAUGGGUCAUGUGCAAGGUCUCCAUUACAAUGAUAUCAUUUGGGCCUGUUAAGAUUUUUAGUCAUUUUGAUUAUGAUUAUGAUUAUGCAUUAAGAAAUUUCAUUUCUUGUUCUCGUAUCAGAUAAAUACUUGCAAUAACUUCUACUGCAAUCAUUUAUCUCCAAUCCUAAUUGUUAAUCAAUCGCUCCGGCAAUUGCCCGGAAUGUUGACAUGCGUCUUUGUCUAGGAUUUUAUUUGCUGAGACUUGAUUGUGAUCGAUUGGAUUUUGA